GGAUGCGCAGACUGUAGGCCUGUGGGAGACUCUGAGAAACCCUGCCCGGUGUGGGGGUGCCGUGCCCAUGGACGGAAUAUGAACGCUAAGCCUGCGGAGCUGGCAGCACCAAGAGGAUGCUCGUCAGGCAAACGCACGCUCAUAGGGAAGUCUUCCGGCUCCUCGCUUUGAAAUUAUAGCAGCUUUCUGAUCCAGAG